AUGGCAGAGCUCAGAUAUGAUGUGUGCUCAGUGAUUCUGGUGGAACAUGCUGACUGUGAGAACAAAAUUUGCCUGGACCCAAGACUUUGCACCCUCCAGAACAGGGGCAAAGCCACCCAGCAACUGGGCAAGGAGUCAUGGAGAGACAAUGGGGAGCUCUGCUGGGGCUUCUGUGGGUCCAGAUUUACUGGGUUCGAGGGGUGAAUGUGAAGCAAAAUCCUCCAGCCCUGAGCCUCCAGGAGGGAACCAGUUCUACUCUGAGUUGCAAUUUUUCUACCACCGUGUACAGUGUGCAGUGGUUCAGACAGAAUCCUGGGGGCAGCCUCAUCAGUCUGUUUUUCAUGACUUCAGUGAUGAGGCAGAAUGGAAGGUUAAACUGCACACUGAAUUCUAAGGAACUGUAUAGUACCCUGUACAUCAUGGCCUCCCAACCAGAAGAUUCAGCCACCUACCUCUGUGCAGUGGAGGCACAGUGCUCCCAGGUGGUCUGCAGCCUGUGCUCAAACUGCAGCUGGGCCUGCAGCCCCACCCCUUCCAUGGGGCCAGCAUGGUGUCCCCACAGUAGCCUUUGCACAGCAAGCUGGGGCAAUCUGGAGAUAGCAGAUAAGCUUGUUCAUAAAGCACUGCAAAAUAAAAGUAUAUACAUGGACAUUGCAAUAAAACAUAUCAGAGAAAUAUUAGAAUUCUCAGAAAGUUUAGAAACUCUUGUUUUAAAAAUUGCUCAAGCAUUGGAAAGCAAAUGUCCAUAG